GAUGUUAUCUGAUCAGCGAAUGGAGUGUGGUGGUUGAGGAAAUUACAGCCAAAACCAACGAAUCUGAUGUCGUCACUUGCACUCCAUCCGACACCCAUAACUUUUCUUUGAGGGUUUGGCGAAGUUUUAAACAGUUAUAUCUAAUGAUUUGGAAAAGGAACUGACUCAUCAGGAUGUUCUUAGACAAAAAAAUGUUUGUAUGAGAGUCAUAGGAAUGUGAAACCCAAUGGGGAUGACUUAUCAUUCUAGGGGUUGUGUAAAAUUUGCUGAAGUGUGUCUUUCUGUGGAAAUGUGGACGUA